CAACUUUAACAGCAUGCCACGACCAAAGCUGUAUUACUUCUGUUCACGUCACACUUGGGCAUCCUUACAAAACCUGAUGGAUCAUUGAACUUGAGCUAGAACAGCCGUCAUCAGAUUAGAACAGUAAAACUUGUACAUAUGACCAGGGCUUACAAUGCUGCCGUUUUGGUUUUGCG